rnacentral:rRNA from 1 species
ACAUCCAACCUUCCCCUGUCUCGGGCAUAACCCGGUGAAAACCGGACUAAUUCCCGAUGUUGUUCCUUGACGGCAUCAGAUUGAAACCAAAGAUUUAUCGGACAUGGAUGGGGAUGCGUCUGAUUAGCUUGUUGGCGGGGUAACGGCCCACCAAGGCUACCAUCAGUAGGGGUUCUGAGAGGAAGGUCCCCCACAUUGGAACUGAGACACGGUCCAAACUCCUACCGCAGGCAGCACUGAGGAAUAUUGGUCAAUGGGCGCGAGCCUGAACCAGCCAAGUAGCGUGCAGGAUGACGGCCCUAUGGGUUGUAAACUGCUUUUAUACGGGGAUAAAGUUAGGGACGUGUCCCUAUUUGCAGGUACCGUAUGAAUAAGGACCGGCUAAUUCCGUGCCAGCAGCCGCGGUAAUACGGAAGGUCCGGGCGUUAUCCGGAUUUAUUGGGUUUAAAGGGAGCGUAGGCCGGAGAUUAAGCGUGUUGUGAGAUGUAGACGCUCAACGUCUGAAUUGCAGCGCGAACUGGUUUCCUUGAGUACGUAGGAAGUUGGCGGAAUUCGUGGUGUAGCGGUGAAAUGCUUAGAUAUCACGAAGAACUCCGAUUGCGAAGGCAGCUGACUGUAUCGUAACUGACGCUGAAGCCCGAAAGUGUGGGUAUCGAACAGGAUUAGAUACCCUGGUAGUCCACACGGUAAACGAUGGAUGCUCGC